rnacentral:rRNA from 1 species
ACCACAACGGGUGGAGCUUGCGGUUUAAUUGGAUUCAACGCCGGAAAUCUUACCGGGACCGACAGCAAUAUGAAGGCCAGGCUGAAGACUUUGCCGGAUUAGCUGAGAGGAGGUGCAUGGCCGUCGUCAGUUCGUACUGUGAAGCAUCCUGUUAAGUCAGGCAACGAGCGAGACCCACGCCAACAGUUGCCAGCUCGUCCUCCGGGAUGGUGGGGACACUGUUGGGACCGCCUCUGCUAAAGAGGAGGAAGGAAUGGGCAACGGUAGGUCAGCAUGCCCCGAAUUAUCUGGGCUACACGCGGGCUACAAUGGGUGGGACAAUGGGUAUCGACACCGAAAGGUGAAGGCAAUCUCCUAAACCCAUCCGUAGUUCGGAUUGUGGGCUGCAACUCGCCCACAUGAAGCUGGAAUCUGUAGUAAUCGUGUCUCAAAAUGGCACGGUGAAUAUGUCCCUGCUCCUU